GCGCCUUCUGCGCACAAAGUUGCGCAUCAUUGCCGUCACUAGGGAAGCUGUCGUAAAUAACAAGCAAACUUCAAAUGACACAAUAAAAUGAUUGAAUGACAAAAUUUGAAGAUAUAUACCUAUUUUCAAUCAUUGUUUUCAAUAUUUUGUUUUUUAAAAUCGAUUAGUAUAGUUUCCGGUCGCCUUUAUUUACUUCCGGCAAACAGAAGAUGGCGAGAUGAAGACUAUGAUUCAUACGAAGUAAGCUGCUUUUUGUCGAUACCUAGACUAGUAUCAGUGAAUUUUGAGUCACGAUAUUAAUUUAGGUAUACCUAUAAUCAGCUCUACUACAUAUCGGCGUGUUUUUUCAUCAGUAAAGAAGAUAAUCUGGUAAGUAAUCAUGCAAUGAUAUUACAAAAACAAAAAAGUGUUUGUCAUAAAAAUAAUAACAACAAUCGUAAAAUUACACCAUCGUCUGCUACAAACAACCAUGAGAACUCGACGAAAUAAACGGGGUAAAUUUUCCAAAACCCCAAAUGUAACCAAAUCAAAACGUGUUCAAGAAUUGGUGUUUACAAAAAACUGGAACAAGAAGAAGGAAAUUACA
rnacentral:lncRNA from 1 species